UAUACUUUAUUACUUUUUGCAGGUUGAUUAUUUGGGACGAAUUGGGGGAAAAGAUGAAGGAAAUUCAAUACGCCGCAUACUAAGAACACUUUUAACUAAUAGUCUAACUUUGAAGCUAAACUGUCGGAAGAGGAAAAAAAGUCGGAAUUGGAAAAAUGACGAUUAUGCUUGUUGUUAUUGAAGCUGUGAAGACAAAUAAAUGUUUUUACAGCUAAAGAUUCAGAAUUAGAAGAUCUAAUUAAAGUAUGGCUCAGGCAGGCAUGUGAUAGGGAUGGAGGAAGAAAAGCGUAUAGUCGUGGGCAUCUCAGAUCAAUAGCAAAACACGAUUUGAUAAAAAGUAGCACCGUCGAAACUACUCAAUGAACUUUUUAGAAAAUUGUUCUAUUAAAAAAUUUUUUGUUAUGCUUUGCUUUAUGUAACGGAGUAGUUAUGUAAUAAAAUCUUCUAGUUAUAUCAUA